rnacentral:sRNA from 1 species
UGUUUGCACUUAGCGGGAAGGGUAAGAACCUUCGACUAAGGUUCGACUCGAGCGCCAGCGAGAGAACGUUGCCGCAGGCAACGGCCCGAAGGGCGAGGCGCUUUAGCGCCGAGUAAUCCUUCCCCCACCACUG